GAUGAACGCUGGCGGCGUGCCUAAUACAUGCAAGUCGAGCGAACAGAUGAGGAGCUUGCUCCUCUGACGUUAGCGGCGGACGGGUGAGUAACACGUGGAUAAUCUACCUAUAAGACUGGGAUAACUUCGGGAAACCGGAGCUAAUACCGGAUAAUAUAUUGAACCGCAUGGUUCAAUAGUGAAAGACGGUUUUGCUGUCACUUAUAGAUGGAUCCGCGCCGCAUUAGCUAGUUGGUAAGGUAACGGCUUACCAAGGCAACGAUGCGUAGCCGACCUGAGAGGGUGAUCGGCCACACUGGAACUGAGACACGGUCCAGACUCCUACGGGAGGCAGCAGUAGGGAAUCUUCCGCAAUGGGCGAAAGCCUGACGGAGCAACGCCGCGUGAGUGAUGAAGGUCUUCGGAUCGUAAAACUCUGUUAUUAGGGAAGAACAAAUGCGUAAGUAACUAUGCACGUCUUGACGGUACCUAAUCAGAAAGCCACGGCUAACUACGUG
rnacentral:rRNA from 1 species